AGUGAACGCUGGCGGUAGGCCUAACACAUGCAAGUCGAACGGCAGCACAGUAAGCGCUUGCUCUUACGGGUGGCGAGUGGCGGACGGGUGAGGAAUACAUCGGAAUCUACUUUUUCGUGGGGGAUUACGUAGGGCAACUUACGCUAAUACAGCAUACGACCUACGGGUGAAAGCAGGGGAUCUUCGGACCUUGCGCGAUUGAAUGAGCCGAUGUCGCAUUAGCUAGUUGGCAGGGUAAAGGCCCACCAAGGCAACGAACCGUAGCUGGUCUGAGAGGAUGAUCGGCCACACUGGAACUGAGACACGGUCCAGACUCCUACGGGAGGCAGCAGUGGGGAAUAUUGGGCAAUGGGCGCAAGCCUGAUCCAGCCAUGCCGCGUGAGUGAUGAAGGCCUUCGGGUUGUAAAACCCUGUUAUUGGGAAAGAAAAGCAGCAGAUUAAUACCCCGCUGUUCUGACGGUACCCAAAGAAUAAGCACCGGCUAACUUCGUG
rnacentral:rRNA from 1 species